AUUGGCUCCCCGGUAGCGGGGAGCCAGUGCAAACGCAACAGUUUUGUAUCGCGGUUUUCGCGGCUACAGGUCUGUUGCGUGUGCGUUUUAUAAACAUCCUAAUUUUUGGUCGCACAUGAACCCGAUAGUGAUAAACCAGCUGCAGCGAAAACUCGGCUAUACUUUUA
rnacentral:sRNA from 1 species